rnacentral:rRNA from 1 species
UGAGGAAUAUUGGUCAAUGGGCGCAAGCCUGUACCAGCCAUCCCGCGUGCAGGAAGACGGCGCUAUGCGUUGUAAACUGCUUUUCCAGGGGGAGAAACUUGCGCACGUGUUGCGCAAUUGACGGUACCCUGGGAAUAAGCAUCGGCUAACUCCGUGCCAGCAGCCGCGGUAAUACGGAGGAUGCGAGCGUUAUCUGGAUUCAUUGGGUUUAAAGGGUGCGUAGGCGGACUAUUAAGUCAGUGGUGAAAUCCUGCAGCUUAACUGCAGAACUGCCAUUGAUACUGAUAGCCUUGAGUUUGGUUAAGGUAGGCGGAAUGUGUAAUGUAGCGGUGAAAUGCUUAGAUAUUACACAGAACACCAAUUGCGUAGGCAGCUUACUGAGCCGACACUGACGCUGAGGCACGAAAGCGUGGGGAUCGAACAG